rnacentral:rRNA from 1 species
GAUGAACGCUGGCGGCGUGCCUAAUACAUGCAAGUCGAGCGAACGGACGAGAAGCUUGCUUCUCUGAUGUUAGCGGCGGACGGGUGAGUAACACGUGGAUAACCUACCUAUAAGACUGGGAUAACUUCGGGAAACCGUAGCUAAUACCGGAUAAUAUUUUGAACCGCAUGGUUCAAAAGUGAAAGACGGUCUUGCUGUCACUUAUAGAUGGAUCCGCGCUGCAUUAGCUAGUUGGUAAGGUAACGGCUUACCAAGGCAACGAUGCAUAGCCGACCUGAGAGGGUGAUCGGCCACACUGGAACUGAGACACGGUCCAGACUCCUACGGGAGGCAGCAGUAGGGAAUCUUCCGCAAAGGGCGAAAGCCUGACGGAGCAACGCCGCGUGAGUGACGAAGGUCUUCGGAUCGUAAAACUCUGUUAUUAGGGAAGAACAUAUGUGUAAGUAACUGUGCACAUCUUGACGGUACCUAAUCAGAAAGCCACGGCUAACUACGUG